rnacentral:rRNA from 1 species
UACGAAGGGGGCUAGCGUUGCUCGGAAUCACUGGGCGUAAAGGGUGCGUAGGCGGGUCUUUUAAGUCAGGGGUGAAAUCCUGGAGCUCAACUCCAGAACUGCCUUUGAUACUGAAGAUCUUGAGUUCGGGAGAGGUGAGUGGAACUGCGAGUGUAGAGGUGAAAUUCGUAGAUAUUCGCAAGAACACCAGUGGCGAAGGCGGCUCACUGGCCCGGCACUGACGCUGAGGUGCGAAAGCGUGGGGAGCAAACAGG